UGGGUCUGUGAGAACCAGACCCACAUCCAUGUUGAACACUAGUUGUAAUUGUUAUGGCUCCAUGGUUAAAGAAGGGGCAGUCUGGAAUUGUCCAAGUGGCAGGGUGACUGGUCGCUUUGCUGUUUGAAUCCCAGAUUGACUCUUUAUUAAGUCUAUCUGAAGGAGUUGUGUUGAAUAUCCAUGUGAGGUUUUAAGCAGUUUUAGUAUUUAUUUGUAAUAACUGACAACAUUAUAUCAGAAAUUAUUAUGGACUCCAGUGCACUAAAUAUACAGUAGAAAUGAUCAGGUGUAGUAUUAGUAGUGAAGUAUACAUGCAUACCAUUAUGUUUAUUUAACUGAGCAAGUCCGUUAAAGAACAAAUUCUUAUUUACAAUGACAGUCUAGGUAACAGUGGGUUAACUGCCUUGUUCAGGGGCAAAACGACAGAUGUUUACCAUGUCAGCUCAAGGAUUCAAUCCAGCAACCUUUCGGUUAUUGGCCCAACGCUCUAACCACUAGGCUACAUGCCGCCCCAUGUAAUGUAUUGUAGUGAAUUUGGGGCCUAGUCCCUCAUCCAGCGACUGUCAACACAACACCUCAGUCGUUACACCAAGAGAUAUGAAACCCUUGAUGAGGUUGCUAGGUGUUGGGUUAAGGUCACUACAGUAUAAACUCAGUAUAGACCAGGUUAUGAGGUUGCUAGGUGUUGGGUUAAGGUCACUACAGUAUAAACUCAGUAUAGACCAGGUUAUGAGGUUGCUAGGUGUUGGGUUAAGGUCACUACAGUAUUAACUCAGUAUAGACCAGGUUAUGAGGUUGUAGGUGUUGGGUUAAGGUCACUACAGUAUAAACUCAGUAUAGACCAGGUUAUGAGGUUGCUAGGUGUUGGGUUAAGGUCACUACAGUAUUAACUCAGUAUAGACCAGGUUAUGAGGUUGCUAGGUGUUGGGUUAAGGCCACUACAGUAUAAACUCAGUAUAGACCAGGUUAUGAGGUUGCUAGGUGUUGGGUUAAGGUCACUACAGUAUAAACUCAGUAUAGACCAGGUUAUGAGGUUGCUAGGUGUUGGGUUAAGGCCACUACAGUAUAAACUCAGUAUAGACCAGGUUAUGAGGUUGCUAGGUGUUGGGUUAAGGUCACUACAGUAUUAACUCAGUAUAGACCAGGUUAUGAGGUUGCUAGGUGUUGGGUUAAGGUCACUACAGUAUAAACUCAGUAUAGACCAGGUUAUGAGGUUGCUAGGUGUUGGGUUAAGGUCACUACAGUAUAAACUCAGUAUAGACCAGGUUAUGAGGUUGCUAGGUGUUGGGUUAAGGUCACUACAGUAUAAACUCAGUAUAGACCAGGUUAUGAAAUUGCUAGGUGUUGGGUUAAGGUCACUUCAGUAUAGACCAGGUUAUGAAGUUGCUAGGUGUUGGGUUAAGGUAACUACAGUAUUAACUCAGUAUAGACCAGGUUAUGAGGUUGCUAGGUGUUGGGUUAAGGUCACUACAGUAUUAACUCAGUAUAGACCAGGUUAUGAGGUUGCUAGGUGUUGGGUUAAGGUCACUACAGUAUAAACUCAGUAUAGACCAGGUUAUGAAAUUGCUAGGUGUUGGGUUAAGGUCACUACAGUAUAAACUCAGUAUAGACCAGGUUAUGAGGUUGCUAGGUGUUGGGUUAAGGUCACUACAGUAUAAACUCAGUAUAGACCAGGUUAUGAGGUUGCUAGGUGUUGGGUUAAGGUCAGUAUCAACUAGGUUGUGGGGACUGUCUGGUAAUUAGUCAAAUCUUAUGUCAUUGGUGUAGAAAAAGUAAUAAUCAAUAUGCUGGAUGUAUUAUAAACAUUGUAUUGUGAAGACAUGUUUUAUUUAGUUAAUGUCAUUACACUAGAC
rnacentral:lncRNA from 1 species